UGCGCAGCGCGUGGCGCAUCACCACCUGACGGAAGCUCACCCCCUUCAGCAACGCGGUGCGGAUAUAUUGCGCGGUCAUCACCUCGGUCAUGCUGGCGCGGGUCAUGCGGGCGAUAUAGCCGAUGCCAUAAAGCGCGAUGGUCAGCACCGGCAGAAAGAAGUUUUCAAAGGUGAUGU
rnacentral:ncRNA from 1 species